UUGGGCUAAGCUGUCAAAUGUCAAACAUCGAAAUAAUUAAGAAAAAAAUAUAAACUUUUUUUUACUUUUUUUCCUUCUUCAUAACUCGUAUUUCGGUCAUUAUAUCUAAGGUUUUUUUACUAAUUAAAAUAAUUAACAAAAAUAAAACAAACAUAACCAUACUAUGACUUAAAUAAGUCAUAACUGUCCAAGCUGUUAAUUCAUUUAAAUUCAAUAGUUUUUAAAGUAAAUACUUUACUCUUGACACUUAUAGUUUAAGUUUUAAUUGUAAUGAAAUCUUCGUCUAAAGUUGUCAUGAAUAACAUUCAUAGUGAGAAUCAAAAUAAACGAUAUAGAAAAAAAUACAAUCACAUGAAGCUGAGAGUUAAAAGUUUGAUUAUUGAAAAUGCUGCUUUGUGUGAUGAAGUAGCUAAAAUACAAGAAAAUAUACAGAUAGUUAAAGAAGAAAGAAAAUUUUUGCUCCAGAAACUUCUUGAACACGAGAACGAUUCUGAUAUAGUACAUACUUACUCAAAAGAUUCUAUAGCAGUAUCAAAUGGAUCUAGAAGUAAGCCUAAGAAAAUACAAAAUCUCAAAGAA